AUGGGGGAAGAUAUUUAUAUCUUUUGGCACUGAUAUAAUUGAUUGCUUGUUUCUUUUUUAGUUUGUCCAUUAAAUUUGAACUUUAAAAUUACAAUCAACUUGAUGGGUGAAACCUUUUUCAUUUGUUAUGUAUCGUCCUUGCUAGACGAAGGUGAGUAUUGGGUGGAGGUAUUUACGUUUUGAUUAUUCUACAAAUUUUAAUUAUCAGCACAAACAAAGAUGGAAAAGGGAACAAAAUGGUACAAACUGAUUUAACUAUGAUGUGGACAGGUUAAUGUUACGAGUGAAAUGAUGAUCUACAGAUUAACCUGUCUAGAAUACUUACCGAUUAAUCUGUCCAGAAUAUUUACCAACUCUCUAGAAGUAAAAAUUGAAUUUGUAUUCACAUAUACGUUAUUUGAAACAUUUAUAGAUUCUUUAAUUAUGAUGUGGUUGUUUUUUGUUGUGGAC
rnacentral:lncRNA from 1 species